UACGGAGGGUGCAAGCGUUAUCCGGAUUUACUGGGUUUAAAGGGUGUGUAGGCGGGUCUUUAAGUCAGUGGUGAAAUCUCCGAGCUCAACUUGGAAACUGCCAUUGAUACUAUUGAUCUUGAAUUUUGUUGAGGUAGGCGGAAUAAGUCAUGUAGCGGUGAAAUGCAUAGAUAUGGCUUAGAACACCAAUUGCGAAGGCAGCUUGCUAAACAAAUAUUGACGCUGAGGCACGAAAGCGUGGGGAUCAAACAGG
rnacentral:rRNA from 1 species